UGAAGGGAAUACUGAUGGACAAAGCAGAGCUAUUUUUCUGAAGCCUCCCUUUUUGUUCACCAGCUUUUCUGCAUUUGCAUAUAUGGCUGACUCCUCCCCUUUGCAGCGAUGCAACAUCAUUGGAGGGCAGCAAAGCCGCAGGAUGACAAUCGAGUGGAAGGCACAACUGUUGCUAAGGAGGCGCAAAACUAUCCCUCAGCCAUGGACAAGAUGGCAGGGGACAUCCUAGUUCUGAGGACACACAGGUGGUAACGUUGGAGUUGGAAAACCAGCAGCUCUACAGUGAUCUGUCUCUGCAGCAGGACCUUGAUGACACAGGCAUCCACGUCACGGUUGGAAUUGCAGAGCCACAAGCCUCUUUCUAAAUCGGACACAGACCUUUCUUCAUCAGCUGAAAAAAAGUAAGAAAAAAACAUUUGCAGGUUGGCUGAAAAUGAUGAUAUUGUAUUGUUUAUUGAUAAUUGUCACCUUUUAAUUUAACUUAUGAGCCAUCUUUGAUUAGACAAAUUCAAAAUAAACAUAGUACAGUACAGUAUCUUGCCAUGUGUUAGAAAAAUGGUCACUAAAAUUUUGAAUGUAGGUCGAGAAUUGUGACCAGUAGUAAGCUGACAAGGGGUCAGCGCUGUAGAGCAGGGUUUUACAAAGUUAAAUUGCCCUCAAACAAUAUAUAAUAUGGUCCUCGAAAACAGCUCUCAAGACGACACAAUGCAUGAGAUUUUAACAUUAUUUUUAAGAAAAAUACAACAGGCUUCAUUUAACUGAGUCCCAAGACAUUCAUUAAUUUUCCACACCACUUACCGGUAAUCCUCAUUAGGGUUGCGUGGGUAUGCUGGAGCAUAUCCUAGCUGACUUUGGGCAAGAGGCAGGUUACCCUAAGAGGUUACCCUAGACUGGUGGCCAGCCCAUCACAGGGCCCAAACAACCUCUCACAUUCACAUUCAUACCUAUUGACAAUACCUAUGGACAAUCUCGAGUCCAAUUAACCUAACAGGCAUGUUUUUUUUAGAAUGUGGGAGGAAGCCGGAGUACCCAGAGAAAACCCACACACGGUCAAUACAAGCUACAAGCUGGAUGUUGUUUCGUUAUAGUUGUUAAAGUUUAUAUAUCAAGAGAUAAAUAUAUUGAAUUGAAAAAAUAUUUAAAUAAGCAAAUUACUAUUUAUUACCACAUAAACACUUACAAAAGUACAGAAAACUGGUACAGUUGAGU